CCUACGGGAGGCAGCAGUGAGGAAUAUUGGUCAAUGGCCGUAAGGCUGAACCAGCCAAGUAGCGUGAGGGAAGACUGCCCUAUGGGUUGUAAACCUCUUUUAUGCGGGGAUAAAGGUGUCCACGUGUGGCUGUUUGCAUGUACCGCAUGAAUAAGGACCGGCUACUUCCGUGCCAGCAGCCGCGGUAAUACGGAAGGUCCGGGCGUUAUCCGGAUGUAUUGGGUGUAAAGGGAGUGUAGGCCGGUCUUUAAGAGUGCCGUGAAAUGUUGGGGCGCAACCAUGAGAGUGCGGCGGAAACUGGAGACCUUGAGUGCGCGGAAGGCAGGCGGAAUUCGUGGUGUAGCGGUGAAAUGCGUAGAUAUCACGAAGAACCCCGAUUGCGAAGGCAGCCUGCCGCAGCGUUACUGACGCUGAAGCUCGAAAGCGCGGGUAUCGAACAGGAUUAGAUACCCUAGUAGUC
rnacentral:rRNA from 1 species